UGUAAUAUUGUGUGGGGAUGUUUUAAUUGUUAGCCACUUUGUUUUUUUUUACAGAAAAACGGGGUAUAAAUAAAAGUUUUAUUUAUUAUUUAUAUUUAUUAUUAUCACUCAUCUUUAUUGUUACUAAUCAGGGCAGUUUCUUAAUCUUAACUAUUAAUUACCUAUUUAAAACAAAACAACAAUAACACCCUGCCUCCUGAUUCAUUGGUGAUGUAGCUGGUAAGUAAAACACCAGACCUUGGGUUUUUGAAGGAUAUGUUUACCUGUGGGUUUCAUGGAGUCAUCUAUUCUAACCUUCCUACAGUCAAUUUGAUGAAUAAGAAACUAGCUUUAUUAUUGGGUGGGUAUAUUUAGUCUGUCCCUCGUAAGGGUUUCAGCCUGGCAUUUUAAAAAAAAAUGACAGGCCCGGUACAGAUGGGCCUCGUGGAUGAUAUGGUAGGGUUGCCUCAUGGCAUCGCUUACAGACUCCCUGCAACCCUAGCGCGUCUCCCAUACAUCAAAAUGGCAGCGCCCUGUACAGAUGGGCACCACCAUUUUGACGCAACGGACACCUAGCGUCUGCACGUCACUGUACCAUAAUGACAUUGCGUGUGCACCAUUGGCACACUGCAGUGUCAUUAUGGUGCCGCAAAAAGAGCCCGUUUUGUGGGUUCUUUUUGCUCUGCAAGAAAGCCGCACGGUUUGUUCACUGCGGCUUCCUUACGAAGCAAAUCAGGGCGCCAGCAGACUGCCCUUUUUGGGUGGUCUGUACUGGGCCACAGUUACAUUUUGACACCCUCUCUAAGAAUAAUUUUUGAAGGCCUUGGACACAUAGGCAUUUGGAACCCUUCUCUGGACCAAGCCAAGCCCUUGUGAUUGAAUCAACCAAGCUUGCACUCAACUCAUUUCAUUCCCUCUCAUUUUCCCCACACAUUUAUGUGACUGUUCCACACCAGCAUCCUCUGAAGAAGCUCAAAGGAACUUGAAUAAAGAGUGUCUGUCUCCACAUGGCUUGCCUGCUCCACCACAUUUUUUUCAGUGCUUUAUGCAUAACUUUCAAGUGAACCACAAUUCAUGACAAUGUUUUUCCAAGUGUUUUACUUGGUUGGGAUGGGUUUAUUUUUCCUGCCGCGCUAGGAGUGUGGUGCUGACUGUCUCACAGUGAGAGACAAGCUGAAGUGGCUGCCAGGAUGUCAUAAAGAAUUCAGGUAGCCAAGGGAAUGGGCUCGUGAAGGAAGGGAACUCAUUUAUCUUGAACAAAAAACCUUCCUUUUGGCUGGCUCCAUGUCCUGCUUUAAGAUACACUUAACCUAUCAGCAAUGAGAGAUUAAAUGCCCGUUCUUCCCAUGGGUCAGUUUCAUCACCUCCAUGGCCCACCUCUCCAUGCCCCCCCCAGCAGAUUUACACUUCUUCCACUUCUGUUACAAUUGUCAUGAAUAACCACAUGGAAACUAUCACAAACAUUGUAAAAUAAAGGCACUCAUUUGCAAAAGAAAACAUGCUCUGAGGUCUCAUUGAUAUAUUUUUGAAUUCAGGCAUGCAUGAGAAAAAUUCCAGGAGAAAAAAACAUACACAUUCACUAAAUGUAACUGAAUGAAUUGCGACAAGAAGGCAGAACUAUUUAACAUUCAAGCAUUUACCAGAUCCUGCCCCAAGAUUCCUGAAGUCUGAGGGGGCAAGAUGUGGACUUAGGACAAAUAAUGUUACCCUGGCAAAGACGAGUGAAUCACAUCUAGUUUGGUCUUUCACUCAGGAGAUGAAAGCACCCAUAGUUCAGAAAUGUAACCAAAAUGGAGGCAUAUGGUGAUGGCAAGUUCUAAAAUUGAUGAAACCUUUCCGCAACUGGCUUUUCCCAGGGAUAAGUGACAUGUGGGUCAUUUCCCAGAGCACACAUUCAUCAGGCACAGUUGACACCUCCAUCUUAUCAUCCUGGAAGUACCUCAUCCAACUGCACUGGCAGUAUAUAUCAAAAG